GGUUGAGCUCGGUGGUAGAGUGCUUGCCUAGCAUGUGUGAGGCACUGGGUUCGAUUCUCAGCACCA
rnacentral:tRNA from 1 species